UUUAAAUCGCUGAGCAAGAGGAGUAGAUUGAUGGAGUCCGUUCAAGAGAGCCGGGGUAAGGUGAGAGCCCGGUACGGUAAGUCAUUCGAAUGGACUUGCGAGAGGCUUCCUGAAAGAAAGUAGGGAAGCACGGAUUUCCACCGUUAAAAGGAUAGGGUAUCGAUAUGUUUCCGUACCCGAAAAAGGGAGCAGCAUGCUGCUCUAAAAAGAGGUGGCACCACGUUCACAAGACACGUCCUCUAU
rnacentral:ncRNA from 1 species